rnacentral:tRNA from 1 species
GGGCGAGUGGCGGAAUGGCAGACGCGCACGACUCAAAAUCGUGUGAGGAAACUCAUGAGGGUUCGACUCCCUCCUCGCCCA